CAGUCGAACGGAGAUGUUGCAGCAGAAGCGAAUAGCUUGCUAUGAGUGGAAACAGUGGCAUCUUAGUGGCGGACGGGUGAGUAACGCGUGGGCAACCUGCCCUGCACUGGGGGAUAACACUUAGAAAUAGGUGCUAAUACCGCAUAAUAAAAUAUAUUGCAUGAUAUAUUUUUGAAAGCUGCGGCGGUGCAGGAUGGGCCCGCGUCUGAUUAGCCAGUUGGCGGGGUAACGGCCCACCAAAGCGACGAUCAGUAGCCGGCCUGAGAGGGUGGACGGCCACAUUGGGACUGAGACACGGCCCAAACUCCUACGGGAGGCAGCAGUGGGGGAUAUUGGACAAUGGGGGGAACCCUGAUCCAGCGACGCCGCGUGAGUGAAGAAGUAUUUCGGUAUGUAAAGCUCUAUCAGCAGGGAAGAAAAGAAUGACGGUACCUGAAUAAGAAGCCCCGGCUAACUACGUGCCAGCAGCCGCGGUAAUACGUAGGGGGCAAGCGUUAUCCGGAUUUACUGGGUGUAGAGGGAGCGCAGACGGCAAUGCAAGCCUGGAGUGAAAGGCGGGGGCCCAACCCCCGGACUGCUCUGGGAACUGUAUAGCUAGAGUGCAGGAGAGGCAAGUGGAAUUCCUAGUGUAGCGGUGAAAUGCGUAGAUAUUAGGAGGAACACCAGUGGCGAAGGCGGCUUGCUGGACUGUAACUGACGUUGAGGCUCGAAAGCGUGGGGAGCAAACAGGAUUAGAUACCCUGGUAGUCCACGCCGUAAACGAUGAUUACUAGGUGUCGGAGGGCAUGGGCCCGUCGGUG
rnacentral:rRNA from 1 species